rnacentral:rRNA from 1 species
AUUGAACGCUGGCGGCAGGCCUAACACAUGCAAGUCGAACGAGUGGCGGACGGGUGAGUAAUGUCUGGGAAACUGCCUGAUGUAGGGGGAUAACUCCUGGCAACGGUAGCUAAUACCGCAUACCAUCGGAUGUGCCCAGAUGGGGUUAGCUCGUAGGUGGGGUAAAGGCUCACCUAGGCGACGAUCCCUAGCUGGUCUGAGAGGAUGACCAGCAACACGGGAACUGAGACACGGUCCAGACUCCUACGGGAGGCAGCAGUGGGGAAUAUGGCACAAUGGGCGCAAGCCUGAUGCAGCCAUGCCGCGUGUGUGAAGAAGGCCUUCGGGUUGUAAAGUACUUUCAGCGGGGAGGCGUUACCCGCAGAAGAAGCACCGGCUAACUCCGUGCCAGCAGCCGCGGUAAUUC